CCUUUUCCGGUUGGCGGCUUCCGGACUAAAGGGGCGAGCGGUCGAAUGACGUCAGAGGAAGCCUUGCCCCGGUAAACUGUCACUCAAGACCGAGAGUCGAGGAGGGCAUGAGCAGCAAGGAGACCGAUCCUCCGAUGUUGUACACUUAUUUAUGCGGGGCGUUUUGUAUUUAUGUGCUCCCCUCCCCAACUUUGGGAGUCUCCUUUCCUUCGUGUCGACAAACAUUUAGCCUAGCUCGCUAGGUAAGGAAAACAAGUCAAAGGUAGCUGCGAGACAGACAAAGCCUGAAAGCCUCCACAUGGCGUUAAUCCUGUUGACGAGGUCCAGGGCACCGUUAAUGACAACUUCCAGGUCGUUCAACAACGACCUACGCAAAGCCAAAGGGAAACUACAAGAUGCUUCCUGCUUCAACUGCGCUGCGCUAAGAGUCUAUAGUCAGAGACUCGACGGUUUCCGACUAGUCGGCGCGGGCCCGCUCUCUCAGUCGGGCCCCUCGGUCUUCUCAUCCGAUGGCCCGCGCCGCCUGUUGAGCGCCUUCGUCCCCCGGGCGUCCCCUUCGCCGUACCCGGCCACUUCCACCGGGACGGGACCGCGGCGGCGGGACGUCCCCGGCGUCCGGCAGAUACACGUCUCGCCGGCGAGGCGGGACGACUCCAAGGUGGAGAAGUCCCUGCGCUCGCUGAAGGACAAGAAGAAGCUGGAGGAAGGGGGGCCGGUGUACAGCCCCGCUCUGGACGCCGAGCCCGUCAGGCGCACGCUGCGGCAGAGGGUGGUGGACGAAAUCAAGCAUUACUACCACGGCUUCAGGCUGCUGUUUGUGGACACCGGGAUCGCCGGACGCAUGCUGUGGCGAGUGCUCAACGGACACGGUCUGUCCCGCCGGGAGAGGAGACAGUUCCUCCGCACCUGUGCAGACGUCUUCCGCCUGCUCCCCUUCCUGGUGUUCAUCAUCGUCCCCUUCAUGGAGUUCCUGCUGCCCAUCGCGCUCAAGCUCUUCCCCAACAUGCUGCCGUCCACCUUCGAGACGCAGUCCAAGAAGGAGGAGAGGUUGAAAAAGGAGCUGCGCGUCAAGCUGGAGAUGGCCAAGUUCUUGCAGGACACCAUUGAGGAAAUCGCUUUGCGCAACAAGGCUGCCCAAGAUGACGUCGCCGAGGAGUUCUCCACAUUUUUCCAGAAGAUCCGAAACUCCGGCGAGCGUCCCAGCAACGAGCAGAUCUUGCGCUUCUCCAAACUGUUCGAGGACGAGCUGACGCUGGACAACCUGACCCGGCCCCAGCUGGUGGCGCUGUGCCGCCUGCUGGAGCUGCAGUCCAUCGGCACCAACAACUUCCUGCGCUUCCAGCUCAUCAUGAAGCUGAGGAACAUCCGCGCAGACGACAAGCUGAUCGCCGAGGAGGGCGUGGCGAGCCUCAGCGUCAACGAGGUGCAGGCCGCCUGUCGGGUUCGAGGGAUGAGAUCGCUGGGCGUCACCGAGGAUCGACUCCGGGAGCAGCUCGGCCAGUGGCUGGAGCUUCAUCUGAAGCAGCAGAUCCCCACCUCCCUGCUGCUGCUUUCGCGAGCCAUGUACCUCCCCGACACGCUGUCCCCCGCCGACCAGCUGAAGACCACCCUGCAGACGCUCCCCGAGAUGGCGACGAAGGAGGCCCAGAUGAUGGUGGCCGAGAUGGAGCUGUCCAAAGUGGACAACAAGACCAAAGUGGAGACCACGCUGCAGGAGGAGGCGGCCAUACGCCAGGACAACAAGGACAGGGAGAUGGAGAGGCUGGCCGACGCCGCAGAGAAGGCUGCCAGGGACAGUGAGGAGCUGGAGGCCGAACGAAGCGGGCAGACGGUGUCUCAGGCCGACGAGCUCAGGGACACGGCACCCGUCCUCGAAGGAGUUAAAUUUGAACAGUGGCAGACAUUCCUGCGUUACCAGGGUGAGGAGAUCACCAAAGAGGAGAUCGACAUGAUCAGCGACGCCUGCUCCAAGCUGAAGGAGCAGAAGAAGCUGCUGACUCUGGAGAAGGAGGAGCUGGAGGAACUCAAGGACGACGUGCUGGAGUACAAUGAGGACCUGGAGGAGAUCAAGAAGGAGCUCUCCAAGACGGGCCAGGAGAAGGCGGUGUGCGAGUCCAAGGCCAGCCGGCGUCUGUCCAAGAGGGUCAACCGCAUGAUCGGACGCAUCGACAAGAUCAUCGGCGAGCUGGAGAAGGACAAGGUCAUCCUGGACGGACAGAUGGGCAGCGGAACCACGCCGCCCAUCGGUCUCUUCUACACCUUCAGGGAGAACCUGAUCAGCAUCGACGAGCUCAUCGGCGUCAUGCGGCAGAUCCAGAACAUUCCCGAGCACAAGCUGCAGAGGAUCGCCGAGGCGCUGGACGACAACAAGGACGGCAAGAUUGACAUCGACGAUGUCAUCAAGGUGGUCGAGCUCAUCGACAAGGAGGACAUCGACAUCUCCACCACGCAGGUGUCCGACAUCAUGGUAAUGCUGCAGAAGGAGGAGAAGCUGGUGGAGAAGGAGAAGGCCAAAGAGAAGGCGGAGAAGGAGCAGGCGGCCAAGCUCAACGGCUAGAAGAAGGUGAAGAAGAUGGCGGCCGUGAACCGCCUGUGGCGGAAGGUAUACCAACAAAACAAAAACUGCCUUCUGAAAAUGUACUUCUGCCACAAAGUGAACAAGCGCCUACUGCCUUUAAAAGGCACCACGUCAAAGAAAUGUCGACUGAUGGUGUAAAUUACACUGUAGUCUUGUUUUGUUAUUUAUUGGACCAGGGGGCAUGUUGGAAUCGCUCGUUUCCGCAGCAGGAUGGCAGCAAAGAACACAUCGAAAACGUAAAAAGAAAUAAUAAUAAUAAUAAUAACAUCAACAGAUUGAGUGUGAACAAUCGGGGACGAGCGAUGCUUUCUGCACUUUAGUAACAAACAUCACUGUCAGUCCUGCGCUUUGUUCAUUCUUCACAUUUGGAUUUGUACAUGAACGUGUGUCACUUCAACCAAAGAAGGUUCCCUUCAAACUAUUUCCUUUUUGCACUGCUUCUUCAUCAUCAUCAUCAUCAUUAUUCAGUGCAUUGACUGACAGCUGUCAAUCACUCUGGCAGCAGAGGCUUGCACGUCGACUUGAGCGAUCGUCGAAGUGGCCGUGAAGGGGACGUUGUCGUUCUGCGGGCGCCAUGGUUACGUACGUGCCGGCUUUCUUGUAACGCGAACAUUUCAAGUUCCAGUUGAACUUAAAUGAGUCGAGGGGGUCAAGGAUAAAAGGCAAACAACUUUGAUAUGCCAAUCAAAGGUGAGGCCGUGUUCACACUCACAACAAACAAAAUCGAGUGCCGUUGCUGUGCUAGAACUCGCAAGUGAACCCCAGUGUGGUUUGGUUCACUUGAGCUCAAGUGUGGAAAAAGAGCUAAGUACUAGAGCUAAUGUAUGCAUUAUUAGGAUUAUUCUUAUUUUUGUUUGAAAUUUUGGCCCAGAUCAGCACUGCUAGUGUUGCCAAACAAGUGAGCCAAGACCACCUGCAAGUGACCUCUGGCACGGUUCAGUUCACAUGACCUCAGGUGCGAACGCCGCACAGAUCAAAGAUGUGGACCGGUGUUGAAAAAUGUCGUUUGAUACGAAUAUCAGUGUUCAUUUUGGUCCCGGCCAAAUCUGCUAGCUGGCCGAGAUGGCUUGCAAGUGAACUCUGGCGCGGUUCGGGUCACUUCAGCUCAAAGGUCAUCGCUGUUCAGAACAAAGACGCCGAGCUCCAACCCUGGCACCAUUUAUUUUUUAUUUUUUCAAAUGUCGGUCCAGACCAACUCUGCAGGUGACCGCUAGCAAGUGAACUCAGGUGCAGUUCAGUUCACGUGAGUUCAAAUGCGGACGUCACACAGGGCAAAGACACGGAGCAGCUCGAGGGCGACCAAAUAUCGGUCGGUGUUCAUUUUUGUCCCGGCCAAAUCUGCCAGCGUCACGAAACAAGUAACCCGAGACCGCUUGCAAGUGAACUCUGGCGCGCUCGUUCCACUUGAGCUCAAGUGUGAAAACUACUUGGAUCAAAGACAUGUAACUGGAACCCCGGCGCCAUCUUUUAUUUUGAGAGGAGCAGAGUGCCGAACUGUGAACAAUCACAGGUCUCUAAUACCCCUUUCAAACUGAGUCGGUACCUGCGCCGGAACCAAAAUUAGCAGCAGUUCUUUCCACGAUAUCAGGAAGUCACGGCUCCAACAUGCAGCCUCCAAACCGGUCUGAGGAGGUGUGCGAGCUGGCAUGUGGCACCAGCACCCAAACCACAACGUGGCACCAGCUCAGUGCCAAAGUUAGUCCAAUGCAACAGAGGAGCAUUACCAGUUUCUGUCAACGGGCGGCGGCGGCGUUGGGAAACGGUAUCGAUGUACAGAAGGUCCCUACGGAAAGCUGUUUGACCAUUUAUUCAAUAUCCUUGACAUCCAUUCUAAGGACCAUGUACGAGUACACGCUUUACGUGUUUUUUUCCACCGCUAGUACUACUUUUGACCUACUAGUACAACCUUAAGCUGGAUAGUUGGCAAUGUUUGAGCAUUUAUUUCAUAUCCAGCUCCUCACUAGUACAACAACUUUGGCAUACUUUGAAAACUAUGCACGAGUUGACAACUUGCGUGCCAGUAGUACUACUAUUGUUGCAGCAGGGUACGAAGGAUCGAGAAUAAAUGCUCCGAGGGCUUCCCGUCGAUCUCAGAUCGGGCUUUCUUCGGAAAGCCAAUCGGGUUAUUUUGGCUCACGUCAUUGCAAGUUUGAUCGCGGCUCUGACUAUUUCUUGGGAUGUGUUUGCAUCGCUUAAGACUCAAACCGUCCUCGGAACAAACGCAAUAAGCAUAUAUGCAUUCAAAAUGUUUUCUUUAUUAUUAUUUUGUGGAAAGGGAGCAGAAGUGCUUGUUAUGAGUAGUUUUUAGGAUUAUUUUGUGCUAUUUGCUUUGGCAGCUGUGGUGGCGAUCAAAAAGGCAGCUGGGAAUGAGCGAGAAGCUGAAAAUGACAAAAAAAAAAGCAGACGGGUCGAAUCGGCAGCAUUGUACAUACACGAUGGAUUCCUUUUGUUUUUAUUAUCAUGUAAACGAAUGGCUUCUCCUGGAAAGGAAUGGAGUAGUUGAACUUUUGACAGCUUGUGAUUGUCGCCACAGUGAUUGUAACGCAACUGAAAUGACUUGCAAAUCAUAUUUACACCCAAAAAAAGGAUAACUAUUUGCUGUGUUGUAUCACUGCACAUGAUUUGUAGAUUAUUUUGAAAUCAUUUUUAUUAUUUAUUUAAUCUUAUUGCAACUUUGGUGAUUUAUUUUAUUAUUAUUUUUUUAAGGAAGCUAUACUUGAAAUGUUGGGAGGGGGGGAGGGGGGAAUGCUUCACCCCCCAAUCAAAUGAAUAUCAUUAUAAAAACAAGUAAAAACCACAACGUACUAAAAGUGAAAUAAAUAACACAAAGCUCCUGGAGUCCUUCGUUGCUGUGUUGUUUUCUUUUUUGUGUCCUAUUUGACUUUUCCACCAUUUUUUCAAGGUAAACUUCCAAAUGGAACCCAAACCAGGACAACAAUAUGGAUAUCAAUACAGCGCGUCUUAUGUUUAUUUAGUUCUUGGUUGUCGUCGUCGUACAAAGCUGAAGGGGGCUUCCCAAGUUGCGGCCUGCGGGUCGUCACGUCAAAACGCUUUGUUUCCUUCGUCGAUCAGGAAGUUUGCGGGCUUUUUGCGGCUCGGACGAGGCCGAGCGAUGAGGAGGCGACGACUGACGACUGACCGAGGAGAGCGAUUAAAAGACGACUUUGAGGAGACAGCUUCAUGGUUUUGUCACACAAGAUUUCAGCGAGAGGGAACUGACCGCAACCUUGUGCCGGAAUGUUCCACAGCAUCCAUCAUCAUCAUCAUCGUCAUCAUCAUAUGAAACAAAACAAAAAGUCCAAUGGUUAGUUCCACUUUUCUAUGUUAUUGAAAAUAAAUUACGUGAUAUACGCUGGCUGCUAAUUGCUCUAAAGUGGAAUGCAAAACAAAAAAAUAUAGCUCACAUGGCUAAAUAAAACUCUUAAAAAAAAAAAAAAAAAAA